rnacentral:rRNA from 1 species
GAUGAACGCUAGCUACAGGCUUAACACAUGCAAGUCGGGGGGAAACGAUAUUGGAAGCUUGCUUCCGAUAGGCGUCGACCGGCGCACGGGUGAGUAACGCGUAUCCAACCUGCCCACCACUUGGGAAUAACCUUGCGAAAGUAAGACUAAUGCCCAAUGAUAUCUCUAGGAGACAUCUGAAGGAGAUUAAAGAUUUAUCGGUGAUGGAUGGGGAUGCGUCUGAUUAGCUUGUUGGCGGGGUAACGGCCCACCAAGGCGACGAUCAGUAGGGGUUCUGAGAGGAAGGUCCCCCACAUUGGAACUGAGACACGGUCCAAACUCCUACGGGAGGCAGCAGUGAGGAAUAUUGGUCAAUGGGCGAGAGCCUGAACCAGCCAAGUAGCGCGCAGGAUGACGGCCCUAUGGGUUGUAAACUGCUUUUAUAAGGGAAUAAAGUUAGUCUCGUGAGACUUUUUGCAUGUACCUUAUGAAUAAGGACCGGCUAAUUCCGUGCCAGCCGCCGCCGUAA